GGACCCGACCGCUAUCGGGGUGGGGCUAAGCCAUGGGAGUCGCACGCUCCGCCGCUGCGGGGCGUGGCGCACGGCUGAGUAGCACGUGGCUAACCUGCCCUCGGGAGGGGGAUAACACCGGGAAACUGGUGCUAAUCCCCCAUAGGGGAAGGCGCCUGGAAGGGUCCUUCCCCGAAAAGGCCCGGCAGGGGUUAGCGCUGCCGAGCCGCCCGAGGAUGGGGCUACGGCCCAUCAGGUGGUUGGCGGGGUAACGGCCCGCCAAGCCGAUAACGGGUGGGGGCCGUGAGAGCGGGAGCCCCCAGAUGGGCACUGAGACAAGGGUCCAGGCCCUAAGGGGCGCACCAGGCGCGAAACCUCCGCAAUGCGGGAAACCGUGACGGGGCCACCCCGAGUGCCCUCUUUCCGGGGGCUUUUCCCCGCUUUAGGAAGGCGGGGGAAUAAGCGGGGGGCAAGUCUGGUGUCAGCCGCCGCGGUAAUACCAGCCCCGCGAGUGGUCGGGACGGUUAUUGGGCCUAAAGCGCCCGUAGCCGGCCCGGCAAGUCCCCUCCUAAAUCCCCGGGCUCAACCUGGGGACUGGGGGGGAUACUGCCGGGCUAGGGGGCGGGAGAGGCCGAGGGUACUCCCGGGGGUAGGGGCGAAAUCCUAUAAUCCCAGGAGGACCACCAGUGGCGAAAGCGCUCGGCUGGAACGCGCCCGACGGUGAGGGGGCGAAAGCCGGGGGAGCCAACCGGAUUAGAUACCCCGGU
rnacentral:rRNA from 1 species